UUAUUACUUAAUCUGAAGUUAAGUAUUUCAGAAGCUAGGGUACAUCAUGUAACUCUGGUCUUACAUACUUUACAGUCUUUAACUAGGAGUUCACCCAUUACUUCUCAAAUAACACACCCAUGUGUAUCUUUAUCUAUAGGCUGAAGUUCUCUAGAAGGAGAUGCUUCUACACUUCCUCCCCCAGAAGCUUCACCUGGAUGUUGCUGGAAGUGAAUGAAAUAAUUCUUAUUGACUUAUAUAUUACGAAGCAUGUUGUAGAGCUCCACUCCCUGAGCUAUUCUAUCCUCUUUGCAAAUGUAAAUUAAAUAUGUGGCUGGCUCAUAUCUGGAUCAUAUCCUCCUUCAUGGGAAGAAUGAAACGUCUGCCCACAAUGCUUCCAAGGACAACCCCUAGGCAAGACACAGUGAAUUUUAUACAUCUGGAACAGCUGGAACAUGCUGCCCAGAGAGGUUGUGGAUGCCCCGUCUAUAGACGUGUUCAAAACCAG
rnacentral:lncRNA from 1 species